AGCAGGUGACACAGGAACGUGGCCAGGUGGCUUUGGAAUGUCUCCAGAGAGGGAGCGACAUCCCUGGGCAGCCCCUCAGCAAUUCCACUGCUCUGCCACUCUGCGUAAGGCAGCUCUACCUUACAUUGGGGUGGAACUUGUUUCUCACUUGUGUUUCUGGCCUUUAGUCCUCGUCCUGUCGCUAGGCACCAGCAAAAGGAGUCUGGCACCAUCCUCUUGACACAUUCCUUUAAGAUAUAAAUAUCUUUGAUGCGGUCCCUCUUCAAUCUUCUCCAGGCUAAGCAGUGGGUUGGUGGUAUAUAAGAAUAAAAAGAGCUGCCACGCUGUGAAACUCCCGCUGCCUCUGGCCUUGCAUGCCCUCCCUCUGGACAGGCUUCAACUGUUCCACACCUUGCCAAUGGAGCUGCUUUGAACAAAUUAACAUCUCAAUGUACCGAAGGUUGAGUAGCAAAGUCAAUAAAACAGCCAUUUGUUUCUAUAGAAACUAAACACCUUAGCAGGGAUUGUACCAAGCAUUGAUUUUGGUGAUUUUUUUUUUAACUGGAAUUUACUGCUUUUGCAGCCUGCUCUUGCUUGUUUUCAGGAAAUCAGAAAUUUGGAAAACUGACUUGGAAUUUUUUAGCAUGUGAAGAAUGAUGGUAAUCACAUGAUAGCGGUGGCAGAAAACCUCUGGAAGCUAGUUCAGUGAGUUAGAAUUGAUUUCUGUGUCUGUAUAAUCAUGAACACUAAAAAUCUCAGUUUGUUUCCCCACUUUCAGACCUUAAGAAACUUUGUAACUUCCCAUCUUCCACUCCCCUUUCUUCCUAGGCUCUUUUUCCAGUUCAGCUGCAAGGAGCUAAUCCAAGAAUAGGCUGAUGCAGCUGCUUGCUGCCCAGAGAUUUGGGGCGUUUGUGAAGGUUUUUUCCAAACUAUCAUUAACAUGAGGAAAUGUCAUAGAGAGAAAUACUCAAUUGAUGCAUUCCAGAUUUCUUAGAUGAAGUUUCCCCGUAUGUUCUGUUCUCAAGUGGCACUGAUACUUGAAUGCCUUCAAGAAUACAAAUAAGUAAUUUAGCUUAUCCUGGGAGGGAAAUACUAACAGAUUUCUGGAAGUCUACAAGGCAUGGAAUAGCACUCGUUGUGUUUGGUAGUGAGACAGUGAAGUAGCUGUGCAUUUAAAAACUAGUAGGUUCAUGUUUACCUGUUUUACAUUUUUUCCCUGUUAGGACAGAGCAUAGAGUUUAUUUAUUAUUUAGUUCUGUGUUUGACUGUACCUAAGUUUGUUAGGUUUUUUCUAACUUUUUUUUCCCGAAAUCAGUCUUUAUGCUUUCCCUGAAAAUAUUUGUGGUGUUUAUCACAGUGAUUCUCAUGAGCUAUGUUGACUUCAGUUAUUUUAUCAGAAUCACAUGCAUGUUUUGAUAAGCACCUGAAAAGCCUUGCUCCUCAAUUUGACUUUUUUUUUCCCAGACAAAAAAAUAAGUAUUUCCCUUUGGCAGUCAUUUCUUUUUUCCAUUGAACAGUAGGAAGAUGGGUCAUGUGAAUUCCCGCAGAGCCCUUCUGAAUGCUGUCAGGAAUUUUUGGUAGGUUUUGGGAAGUUCCAGAUAAUUAUGUUUGGUUUUGUGUUCAAGAUGUAGCUCUCCAAAGCCCUUACAUUUCCAAAUGCAAUGACUUGUUCAUUGGAAUGCUUCAAGGGGAUGAGUAUAAGGAAGAGAUUUCCAUUGCUCUCUCCUUUCAACCAUUAACACAUAGCCUUUAAAAGUUGAUGGGUUAUGGAAAUAUGCUAGAUACAGGAAAGGAGUUGGGAAAGUCCUAAGGGGGUGCACAUCUGUUAGGCCUCAGCAUUCUGCUGCUGGCCAUUUCCAAGCAAUCCUUUUCUGUAGCUUUAUUUACAUUGUGUCUAAACCACAGUUUUAGCAUUGCUUGUGGCUUUGCCAAUGCAAACACUCAGCGUGACCAAAACUGAAAAAAAAAAUUAAAAUGGAUUCCACUGGAACUUGUAUUCAGAGCCAGAAUAAACUGGAGUAGUGCAAGUGUCAGCUCUUGUUCAUAGGAAGUUUACACUUCUGUCUAAAAUGGCAGCUAAGCACAGGUGAGAGGACACAAAGCCAAGUGCUCAGCUGGUGAUGUUAUUCUGACAGGAGUUUGGAAUAUGGAAGAAGUUCCAGCUCAGGGAUGUCAGGCUGCAUCUUACUGGUUGACUUUUGCAUUACCAGGAAGAGGCAAGCAUUGAACUGCUUUGGCCACUUGUUUUUGGAAGAUAAUUACAGCUUGAUGACCCUUUGAUUAUCUGAAUUUGACUUCAAUAGAAUUGUUUUCUGAUUGCAGAACAACUCAUUCUUACAACUUGUGUUUUUUAAGAACUUCAAAAUAGAAGAUUUGUCUGAAGUUCUCUCGAUUGCCCCAGUCUUGGAUGUGAGCAUCCAAUACUGAAAUGAUAUUUUAAAUUCAUGUUUGCAAAGUCAUGAAAAAGUCCUUAAGAACCAAGCCAGAUUUUUUUCUUUACAAAAUAUAUCUUUGAGACAACACUGUAUGUCUUGGCCUAAGAAAUUUGGCUGCCUACAUUGCACAGCUCCUCUAUUGUGUAGAUAGUGCUAUUUUCAGGUGUACAGGUAAAGCAGCAGCUUCCUCAUGAAGGUGCAGCUAUAAAUACACCAACACCCAACCAGCAGAGCAAGUUUCUUGCUGAUAGAUUUUCUGUGCGAGGGUUUUGUCAACUUGGAAAUACCAUACAAAAUAACUCCUGUGGGAUCACUGCUGUCACAUCUGAAAUUCAGUUUCGAUGAGAUUCAGUGUUUCUUGAGGGUUUCAGACUGGUAGAAGCACAGUUUGGCAAGGAUCUCUGGAGGUCAUCUUAUCCAGCCUCCUGCUCCACAAAUGUUCAGUUCCAGUGGAUCAGGAGCUUCUGAACAACAUUCCCUGGGACAGAUUUAUUCCCAGCUUCUUGCUAGGCAGCAGCUGCAGGCCUGGCGGGUUACACAGGAGCCUGUUUGUUCUGAGGGGAGGGGACCUGCUGAAGAUGAGAGGCUUGGGGUAAGAGACUGCAGCGGACUUUGCUCUGUAAACAGUGGGAGCAGAUGCCAGCAGGUGUACCACAGGCUGAUGGCUGUGGCUGAUGGGACCUGCAGAAGUCAGGGAAGAGGCCCUGAGUUGAAGUGAAGGCUUCAGGCAGUGAAGGAGAGCUCCAGAGUGCCCUUUCCAGGCUGUUAACUCCACAUGUCCACAGAGAUGACAUCAGGCUGGCACCAUAAGAUUGUUUUUUGCUCUGGAAGAAAUGAGGCCAGCAUUCCUAGAAAUGUCAGGCAAGAAUGCUGUGCAGAAAACUGCAGUUUCUAGAUUGUUCCCAAGGUUGAAAAGAAGUUCCUAAAAUGAGCAGCAAAGUACAUGACAAAGUUUCCAUCACCUUGUGUCACAGACUGAAGCAAGGUAGCUCUUUCAUAGCAGAGCUGAUGAAAACUCAUUUUCCAUGGAACUUUUCUUGCACUGGGAUUUUCAAUGUCUAAUAGUGCACACAUCAUUUCUCUCUGUCCUCAGAUUCUUCAGAAACUAAAAAAAUCUGAACUCUACUUUGAUCUUUAUCUUUCCCCUAGCUGGAGGACUAGGUGGUUCUCCUGCUGCCUCUCCAAUGCUUAGGUCAAUGAAGCUAGCAGAGAUCUCUGAGACCAGAAAUUUGUUUCAAAAUUUGGCUGAGACUCAGAUAUUCAGAAGUGAAAAUGGUGAGCUUUGACACAUGGCCCGGACUGAAAUACAUUGUUUAAAAUCAGACAGUUCUGGAGGUGCCUGAUUUCCCUUCUCCUCCCUAGUCUAUCUACUCUGCAUUUCCUCUCUUCAGCUCUGCAGUGAAGGACUCCAGGGACAGAAAUUAGGAUUCUGCAAGAAUUUAACCUCCAAGAAAGCUGGAGAGGGGCUUUCUACAAAGGCACAUAUAAUGGCUUUGCACUGGAAGGGAGCAGAUUUAGGUGAAAGAUAAGGUAGAAAUUAUUCAGUGUGAAGGUGGUGGUGCUCUGGAGCAAGCUGCCUGGAGAAGCUGUGGAUGUCUCACCCCUGGAAGCAUUCAUGGCUGGAUGGGGAUUUGAGAAACCUGGUCUAGUGAGAGGUAUCUCUGCCCAUAGCAGGGAAGUUGGAACUGGAUGUUCUUUAAUGUCCCUUCCAACCCAAAUAACUCAAGGAACCCAUGCUCUGUUUCUCCUUUCUUUACAGUAUGGUUUGUGUUCUUUGUGUAGGGAUGUUGGCCCAACAUGUCUGGGAUCAAGUAAGGUCUCUGCCCAGUGUUCAGUGGAGUUUGUACAUCCACCAGAACCUGGUGGCCUGAGAUUUGACACUCACUUGACAUUGCUUCUCACCAUGGCUGUAGCCCCUUACUUGCAUCUUUCUCUUCCAGCUCCCACAGAGACCUCUGAACAUCUGUUCCUUUUGACUGGGCAUCCAGGACAUCUCUUCUUGUCCAGGCCCCACCACAAAGUUUACAUGAUCCCCUCCUUAUGUGUAGACCAGCCCUGGCCACUGACAAAUGCAGCUGAGUGUGACAAGAGGAGCUCACCAGGCACCCUGGGCACUGUGCAGGAGCUGAGGGAGGAGAGGCUGAGGGCAGCCCCUUGUGUGACUGUCCCUGUAAGGGGCCAUGGGCACGGCUGGUGUGCACAGUGUACAUGGUGGGAGUAUCUCUGAGACUUUAUCACUGGGCAGGCGUUCCUGCGCAGGCAGCUGUAAAACAGAAUCGUGUUCUUUUGUAUCACAGCAGCUUCCUUUAAGUUUGUGCUAAGGAAAGUCAGAAUUUGUUGGAACUUUGGCAACUUUAAGGUGGGUAUAUGUUCCUGGGGGCUUUUCUGGGUUCCCUAGGGAAUUGCCUUCUCCUUCUUAUCGGUCUGCAGGCUGUCAAGGGAGUCCAGGUGAUUAACUAGGACUGGGUUUUUUUUAUUUUCCUCUUAGUUUCAUUUGAUUGUAUUAGUUACUCUUGUCUUAACCAUAUUUACCUUCAAAGGUGGCAAUUUUGAAAAAAAGAAUCAUGAUUAUAAAAUGUGUGGGUGAAAUGCAUUCACAGCAAUAGUUCUGUGUGGCCUUGAUUCAGGUACUGCCUUCUAAAAUUAUUGCAGAGUAAAUUUGUUUCUGGCAGGGAAAGGAGUGGAGACCUUCCAGGUCAAAAGCAAGUGAAUUAUUCCAUGGACUCUAUAGUGGGGCCAGGAUUUACCUUUCAGCAUACAUACUUUCAGCCAUACAUACUUUUUAGCUGCUCUUCCUCUGUCAUUAAAUAGCCAUUUGUCAUGGAUGGCUAUUUAUAAUGUAGGAAGAAACAGUAGAUAGUUCUUUUCAAAGAACUUUUUCAAAGGGUUUUAAUUCCCUUUGAAAAAAAUAUUAAAAAUUAAACAUUUCCAGAGAAGUUCAGUGUAGCACAAAGCAGUGGGUGCCAAGUCCCCAGCCAUCCCCAUUUUGAGGGUGGUUUUGUUGGCCAGCUCUAACUGUUCCUCAUGGACUGAACAUCCACAGCUUUCCCAGAGAUAAUGAGGCACUUCGGGAGCAGAGUUUCCCAUUUGGUUUUACCCCAAAGGAGGCCACGUUGUGUGCUCUCAGGCUGCUCCACAAUAUCAAACAGAAGAGGUGAGAGGAAGCUGAGGUGUGAGCCCAGACUGCUGAUUUGAGCAAUAGCACAGGCACACAGACAGAAAACCUGUCUGUGAAAUAGCUGCUUGUGAAAUGGCUCCAAAGCAGCCCCCGUUUACAGCUGCCACUUGAAGCAAACCAGAGGCUGUGUCAUUUGAGUAGUGGCUUAUAAACAGCCAGAACAGUUCAGGAGAAAUUUGGCCUGGCAAAAGGAGUGUACACAGAGGCUACAAAUCCACCAUCCCUUCCGAAAUAUCUCUGCCAUAUUUCAGCAGUUGGAGGUUCCCGUCAGGAGGUGCAGGCAAAGUGUCAGACACAGCCCAUUCUCUUUAAGGGAUGAGUUUUGCUUCCAGGGAUGAUUGCGCCUUCUGCUAAAAAUCUUAUGAGCUUUUUUCUUCUUUGUUUUCCCCUUUUCAAUCACUAAGGACAUUCACAUAGAACAGGAUGAUUGUUGUUGCUGUUCUUCCAUCUCCCUAGAGCAUCUUCCCUAGAUGAGGACGCAGUUGCAGUGGGUCUUGCAACCAGUCACAGAAGUGAUUAAAUGUCAAAAAAAAGUAGAUGUUAAAUUCAUGUGAAGAGAGGUAGCUCUAACAUUUGGGAAUCCCACAAAACAGGGUUUUUAUGGUGAUGGUGCUUCAGUACUCAAAGGCAGAAAAAAAACUGCAGUGGAGACAGUGGUCAAUAGGAAAUGCAGCACACAAAGACUGUGCUGGGAACUGCUUUGGCAGUUAACAUUUAGCUUCACUGAAACCAAUGGAGGGAAAAAAUAUUAAUAAAUAGUGUGAAAGUUUUUUCUUCCAUUGCAGUUAAGAGGAAAGGUACACAGUUAACUGAUGGCUGAGCAUUUGAUUGUGAAUAACAGCAAUUGCAACACUGUUGCAUGUGCCUGCAUGUGUUCUGGUGAGCUUUUUUUUGUAGGCAGGUAGUGGACAAGGAACUGCAGGCAGAUUAAGAAUUACUUGCUACUAACUGAACAUACAGGUAGUUUCACUUGCCUUUUCCUGUGAACUGGGACUUUAAUUAUUGGGGCUUAAAUAUUUAAUACUCUAUAUAUAUUGUCUAUUUUUUAACAAAAGUGUCAAGCAAAAGGUUUAGGUAUUGCAAAAUGGGAAAGAAGAAGAAAUAUGGCCCUAAGUCAUCUUUGAAACAUUUUCAUGAAAACUGUAAUGCCACUAGAAUCUGAAGGAGGGCAGUCAGUAUAUUAUCACUUGCAGGAAACUACAAAGAUUGAAUUUGCCAGGUAAGCCAGGUAUAAACUUGUUAGGAUUUGGCAGAUCUGUUCACUCAUGAUUACGUACUCACACUUGGCCUUUACCCCCGUACACUUUGUACAACCUACCUAGACCCAGCUAAAUUUGCCUGAAGUUUUCCCUGUCACCCUCCCUGCCUUCCAGCUGGCAGGGAACUCCUUGGCUGCUCCUCUGGGCAGAAUGCCUGCUGGGCACACUGCUGAUGUCCAUUGGGAAAUGUCUUCUUGUGUCACCUAGCUUUUGGGACUACUGAGGCAAGAGCACAAAUACAUUGGUUCGGGAUGUCCCAUUUAGAAAUGCUGUUCAAUUUUAAUGCACAAGCUACAGGCUUUUGCCUGAGGAAUGUACAGAAGUUUAUAGUAUGUAAGGCACUAGGGCAGGAGCUCAAAUAGGCUUCAGUCAUAAUGACAGACAGCUUAUCCAUUUGGCUUUCUAUUUCGUAGGAUUUAUUCUGCUGUUCUGAUAAGCUAUGAUUUAAAACACACUGAAGUGCCAGUGCAGGCAAACAGCCCCUUUUCCAACACUGAAACACAUCAUGGAGGGUAAAGACACUGUGCUUUGUAUCUGUCUCCCAGCAUGAGGGAGACAAUAACUGAGAGGUAUGGGGCUCUGCCCACAAAGACCACCUCACAGGCUGUCGGCUGAAUUUGGAGUGGGAAUCAGAUCCAGAAAACAGAUACCUGAAUUUAGGUGUCUAAUCUUCCACACUGGAGACUUAGUUAUGGCAGUGAAUGAGCUGGGAGUGUGAUUCAUCUGAGGAAAUGUAGGUAUCCAUCCUCUGUUAAGCUGAAUCCCUCCUGGCAGUGGCAGGUGGGACACGGAGCUCAUCGUGUGUCCACACCUCUGAGUACACAGCUCCAGCCUGGAAGCCCGUCCCUGGUAAGGAUGUGCUGAUGACAGGGAUUCAGUCUCCAGCUGCUGCGUUGUUUCUGCAGUUUAAUGAGAGGGGUGGGCUGGGCCCCCCCCGGCAAAGGAUGGAGCUGCAGAGCCCUCUGGAGAGCCAGAGAGUCUGAGGCAAGCUUCAUCCCCUCUGUGAGGGGUGGGUGAGCACAUUAGACCUUAUUUAGGAAGUCAAAAUGGCACUCAAGGCUGUGCAAUAAAGAAACAACAUCUCUCUGUUAAAAUAAUUUUAACAACCUGUAUUGUCGAGUUCAGACAAAUAGACUUAACCAAGCCUUCUUAGCAUAUGAAACAUUAGUAUCUACCACUUAUGUCUGAACCUAUGUUUUAGAUUUUAUUUCCCAGACAAAAGAGUAAUUUAAAAUUAUGCAAAUGAGCUGCCAAAGCAAGGCAUUAUGCAGAUUUGUGAGGCAGGCAGCAGAGUGUUAACCCUUGGUGCUGUAGCUUGCUGCAGAGGGAGUGCUGCUGCAGCUCUGCGUGAAUUCCUUCCAGCCCUUGUGCUCUUUAAUUGCAACGCUCCUGUGGCAGGGCCUGAGGUGUGAGGCUCAGCCCCUGCAUACCCCCAGUGCCAAGUGGAUUUAGGUGGAUGGAAGAGCUGUGUUUGCUGCAUUGUUCACCUCAGACUCCUGCCCAGCACAAGCUGUACACAAAUCUGGUCUGGGCAUCUCAGAAAAGACGAGUGUUGUCAACUGUCAUCCGUGGUUUCAUACGGGUUGUUUCCAGAAUAUUUGAAGUGACUGUCAUGGGAGAAAUAUUAAAUUGCUUUUCAAAUGCCAGCACUGCAGUAACACUUCAAAAACAAUUGACACUGUCAGCUAUAAGUCCUCCAGCUUGCUGGCCUGGCUUGUAUACACAAGAUGCACUAGCAGCCUUGACUUUCUGUAGAGGAAAGCUAUUAAAAGAACUCCAUGUUGUGCUAAUUUGUGGGUUCAAUGGCUCAUUAUCCUACCCAGCUAUAAAGGUGGUGGGAAUAACUCUCAGUCAGGAACAGAUGGGUUUUGAUAGAAAUCCAAGGUCUGAUCUGCUCUGGAAGUUUGCCCUGGUCUCUGCAACUGAUGCCAACAGCUGACAUAGCCACAUUGGUGCAAGCACCAGUGCUGAGCAACAGAUCCAGUGUUUUAUAGCAGUAAAGUUUGGCAAAUGGCAAGAGCAGGCAAAUCCCCAACAUGCAUGAGGAUGUAAGUGCAGCUGAUCCCUAGUGGAGGUGCCUGAUGAUGGGUUAAAAUAGUGGCAGCCAAGCCCAGGGAAAGAGGGAGGCAGUUCACAUUGGGCAGUUUUGGAAGGCCUGGUUUGUGCCUCAGUCAUGCUCAUGUGGGAUGCCAUGCCCUGGGAAUAUUUGAUUUGUUCAGCAUCAGGCAGGGGUGGAUCCUGGGGAGGGCAGGAGGGACUCUGGCUUCAGUAUGGGAGAACUUGAAUCCACAUUUCCUCCUGCACUCCAGUUCAUAGAAUCAUACAAUAGAAUCAUACAGUGCUAGUUAUUCAUGGCUCUCUGUGAGAGCUUACAGAGCAGUGCAGGUUUCAAGGAAAACACCAGAAUAUGUAUUUCUGUAGUGAAUUACUUCAGGAACCAACAUCUCAGUGCUGCUCUUACUACCCAGAAGUAAUCUGGGUUUCUCUCUUACACCCAAACCCUUUAAAGUUUUCUCCACUCACCAAAUUGCUCCUUCACUUUCUUUUUAGUUAAAGAUGUCAUUUCAAGCUGCCUGUCAGAAGCUGCCUGUCUCAACCAGCAAUACUGAAUAAAGACUUCAAUAUGUUCAAACCUGGAUGCUGUUGAAAGGAUUAUGUGCAUGCACAGAAAGCAGUUCCAGUGGUGUUACUGGAGCAAGUUCUCAUCCAAAGACUCUCAGAUUCCACACUUGGUGACUCAGAAAGUAGCACCCACGUCACAGGCUUUUACAGCAGUGACAUCCACACCUGAGGGAGUUCCCUGCACCUUCCUUAUGGCAGAACAGACAAGAGUGGCAAUGUUUCACAUAAUCACUGAUUUCGCCGAAGCUUUGACAGCAUUAUCAAGGGCUUUUAAUAUUUUUGAUUUUAUAUGAAUCCCAUAAAACAUCCAAACACCAGGAUGUAAACAAAAGACUUCAAGAAGCUUAGUUUUGAUAUUUCUGUUACAUUCCAAAUUUGGAAUGAAAGGAGGUACAAAAUAAUCACCUCUCCCAGGAAAAUGUGACAUCUCACACAGCUCUGACCAUUCUUGCACAAGUCUCAAGGAUCUCUGCUGAUGGACAAGUCUCCCCCUGCACUCAGUGAUGCUGCAAAACGUCCAGCAAACCUGCCACAAAGGGAAUUCUCAUUCACAUCCUCCCGGAUGCUCAGAGUCACCUUCCAGGGCAGCAGCACCUGCCAAUACCAUCUUCUGGGAUAGUACCUUCUGAAGCACACUGAUGGAAAGGUAAAGGUCUGAUGUUACUGCUCAAAUAACAUGAACACAUCUCUGACAAGUGGGUAGGCCUUACCUUCAUCUUUUAGAAGAGAAAACAAAAAGCACAUGCAAACUGUUUUCUUUUGAAGAGAACAUGGAUGUUGAAGAAAUGAGAGAGUUCUUGUUAAAAGAGAGCUCUCUCAUAUUGCACUAGUACCUUAGGCUGCAAUGCAAGAUGUAACUGAAAGUAUGUAUUCUGUUAUCAUCUGUUAAAGCCAAGUAGGGCAGUGCUCUCUGUCUUCCCCACCAUCCUCCCUCCAGGGAGAUAGCUUCUGUUAAUGGGCCACUGAGUGCCACUGCAUGGCUGACAAAAUCACAUCAUCCCAUUGUGAGAUACUCUGCCCAGGGGGAAGAGCCAAGCAUUCCUAACUGGAUAUAACCAGAGAUUUAGAACACCACCUUCAGCCUUUUCCACAGGAUUCCCAGAGGAAGACUGAACCGUCUGCACCACCACUGGACUUUCAGAGAACUGUACCCUGGUUCUGCAGAAUCCCUGCUUCAGCAGAACUGCAUUUGUCACUCCAGGAGGACUGCAGCCACCAUUUAAUCAGACUGCUACCAACACCCUGA